CCUACGGGAGGCAGCAGUGAGGAAUAUUGGUCAAUGGGCGGAAGCCUGAACCAGCCAAGUCGCGUGAGGGAUGAAGGCCCUACGGGUUGUAAACCUCUUUUGCAGGGGGAUAAAACCCUCCACUUGUGCCGUUCUGCAUGUACCCUACGAAUAAGGACCGGCUAACUCCGUGCCAGCAGCCGCGGUAAUACGGAGGGUCCGAGCGUUAUCCGGAUUUAUUGGGAUAAAGGGGAGCGUAGGCGGGCGUUAAAGGCAGCUGGAAAAUUGCGGGGCUCAACCCCGACCUGCAGUUGAAACUGGAAGCCUUGAGUGCACAAGAGGGAGGCGGAAUUCGUGGUGUAGCGGUGAAAUGCAUAGAUAUCACGAGGAACUCCGAUUGCGAAGGCAGCCUACCGGGGUGCGACUGACGCUGAGGCUCGAAGGUGCGGGUAUCAAACAGGAUUAGAUACCCGAGUAGUC
rnacentral:rRNA from 1 species